AUUGAACGCUGGCGGCAGGCCUAACACAUGCAAGUCGAGCGGAUGAAGGGAGCUUGCUCCUGGAUUCAGCGGCGGACGGGUGAGUAAUGCCUAGGAAUCUGCCUGGUAGUGGGGGAUAACGUCCGGAAACGGGCGCUAAUACCGCAUACGUCCUGAGGGAGAAAGUGGGGGAUCUUCGGACCUCACGCUAUCAGAUGAGCCUAGGUCGGAUUAGCUAGUUGGUGGGGUAAAGGCCUACCAAGGCGACGAUCCGUAACUGGUCUGAGAGGAUGAUCAGUCACACUGGAACUGAGACACGGUCCAGACCCCUACGGGAGGCAGCAGUGGGGAAUAUUGGACAAUGGGCGAAAGCCUGAUCCAGCCAUGCCGCGUGUGUGAAGAAGGUCUUCGGAUUGUAAAGCACUUUAAGUUGGGAGGAAGGGCAGGAAGUUAAUACCUUGCUGUUUUGACGUUACCAACAGAAUAAGCACCGGCUAACUUCGUG
rnacentral:rRNA from 1 species